rnacentral:piRNA from 1 species
UUUCUAGUAAAUCCUAAUACA